rnacentral:pre_miRNA from 13 species
AACAUGACUGUUUCCCAAUGAGUUCGGUUCUAUCCCACGUUUGUUCUGAUACUCGUGACUAGAUCCACACUCAUUAAGAAAUUUUCAUG